rnacentral:snRNA from 1 species
GUGCUCACUCUGGCAGCUCAUAUAUUAAAGUUGGAAGGAUACAGAGAAGAUUAGCAUGGCCCCUGUCGAGGAUGACACGCAAAUUCGUGAAGGGUUACAUACUUUA